rnacentral:lncRNA from 1 species
AAAGAAACGAAGAAAGGGAGGAGGGAAACGGGAGAUCAGAGAGGUGGAGAGGGGAAGAGAAAGGACGGCGCCGGUGGGCAUCACUGCCGCCGCGCCGUCGUGUUGCCGUCGAACGAGAGGAAGCCGUGGACCAUAGUCACGGGCGGAAGAGAAAGCGCGAGCCAGGGCACGCGAGACGGAGCCGCAACUGCUGGGUUGCCGUCCAGCCUCGCCCCACCUUCCAGCCUUCAUCACCACCGCGUCCACGCCGUGCUGCC